CCAAAUCACUGGAAAAUGUGCUGAAAUAUAAUAAAAAACAUAGGGCUCGACAAACUCUGGGCGCCAGGUCGCCAAGGAAACCAUUCCCUGGCGCCCAGUGUUAAGCAGGGCUGACAUAUUCGGUACCCUACGCUUUCCUGCAGGGGCAUGGUAUAACGGGGCUUAUGUAACGGGGCCCCCCCUACAGGAAAGGAGAGGAGUCCACAUUAGCGAGGUGCGUAGUUGUAUACUACGCCUUGAUUCAUUUCAUAGUUUUACAACUAAAUGAUUCAGUAGUCCUACUACUGAUAAAUGCCCAAAGAUUUUGUACUCGUCAUUUCAUUCAAUCAUAUUAAUCAUUUUGCUUAACAUGCUUUAAUUAGUUCUUCUGAAUUUCAAUUUAUUUUACUUUCAUAUACAAUUAACGCUGAAAUAGCCCCAACAUUUCUCUUCUAGUAUUCUCGUGUUCUGCGGUCUCCGUCAUAGAAGCCCUGGUCGAAAUGCUGGCAGCAGAUCCAGGUCUCUUGCAGCUCUGCUGGCAAUCUUAUAGUCAGACCUCUAUUUAACUGAACAUAUAACAACCAAACAGCUCUGUCUAUAUUAUUGCGUUAUUUUUCUUGCAGAUCUGCGGGGUAUUCUCCUCUCUGGAAGCUGGGGAAGGUCUGCGCGAUGCGCGUAAACAGCCUCAGCUGCUGCCUGCACUUUCGCCGGCGCUCGGUCAUAGAAGCCCCAGUGGAAGGGUAUUUUUCAGAGCAUUUGCUCUUAAAAAAAAAACAAAAAAAAAAAAAAACCCUUGUCUUAUAAUCAAGAAAAGAUGGUAUAUGGAAACGGGUAUUAGCUGGAUUAAUGUCUCGUCACAAAAAUGAAAGAGAUGUGGGAAAGAAUAUAGAGAAAAUACACAGCAUACAGUCUUGCUGCGAUUCCCGUGACUGUUAACUGGUAUAUCUUUGUCUUAAGUCUGUUUUUUCUUUGUUUUGUUUUGUCUAUAUUUGAAAAUGUAUUAAAGAUUAUUAAAUAAAUCAUGA